UAUUUUCCUAAUAAAAGGAAGGAAAAUGAGGAGAUGAAGGUGGUCUAUGAGGAUGAGUAGGCCAGUUCUGGAGCUGAAGAGUGAAGAUUCACAUCAGCAUCACUGUAAUUAUAUCACACAGAUCUGUUUUUGCUUAGGUCAUUUCCAACCAAGGCACCUGUGGAAACACCCUGAGGCAUUUAAAAAUGAAAAUCAUUGGUUUAUCUGGACUACUAAAUUCAACAAAAGUAUCAUAAAAAUUUAAUUUAGAUUGGAUGCAAAAGGCAAGAUGCGCAGUCAACUAUUCCAACUUCACACAAGCUUUCCUGCUGAGGCCUCUUGCUCCUUUGCUAUUGCUGUAAGCUGAGUGGCACCUAACUCUACUUUAACUGUGAUUUGUGUCACAUUCAGUUUUACCGAUAAUUUAUUUUUCAGUUGAUUUUUUGGAGGAAAUCUUUAUGAUGUUUCCUUUUAUUUUAUAGUAUAAUCUAAACAAAAGCCUGUGCCUCACUUAAUUUUUAGUUUAGCUUGCUCCCUCUUCUGGGAAGUGUCAGCUCUUUUCCAUACUAGCAUCCUUUUCCUGGAAAUCUCAAAAUACAGCUGUUAUCCAUAACCCUUCUGUGAUUGCAUCACAUUCCCACAAUUUAUAUCCUUCUGCUUCUUAUUAUAAACUUUGCAAUUACUCAUGGGCUUGGAGUCUGUUUUCAGUUUGUUUCCCAAACGCUCCAAUGCCCAAAUUGCUCAUGCUUUUUUGAUCCCCUUAACUUGAUUCAUUACCUCAUGUGAAUAUCCAUAUCUUCAAGAACUUGCUCUGUAUUUACUAACUGGCUGCAGAAGGCAUCCUCUGUCUGUAGAUUAGGACCUGACUGAAUCGUGACUCUAACUGGUGAGGAAUUAUUCCUUUUGUAGAGUUGGAUAAACGAUGAUUAUGAUCCUUUUGAUUUGUUGCUGCUUCUCCUCUCUUUCCAUUUCUGGUCAAAUCAUUGCCCCAUUGCAUUUUCAGUAGACUCUCAUUGCAUUCCUUUUUUGGAUAUUUGAACCUGAGCUGCAGUCAGUAUGUGACAAAGGAAUCCCUUUCUUUUCCCUCAGAUUUUCAGGAAAAACAACUGGCUAUAAUACCAUAUUCUCCACCACGUGAAGCUUCUAAGUUACAAUCAGACCUCA
rnacentral:lncRNA from 1 species